rnacentral:rRNA from 1 species
AUGAACGCUAGCUACAGGCUUAACACAUGCAAGUCGAGGGGCAGCAUGGUCUUAGCUUGCUAAGGCCGAUGGCGACCGGCGCACGGGUGAGUAACACGUAUCCAACCUGCCGUCUACUCUUGGACAGCCUUCUGAAAGGAAGAUUAAUACAAGAUGGCAUCAUGAGUCCGCAUGUUCACAUGAUUAAAGGUAUUCCGGUAGACGAUGGGGAUGCGUUCCAUUAGAUAGUAGGCGGGGUAACGGCCCACCUAGUCUUCGAUGGAUAGGGGUUCUGAGAGGAAGGUCCCCCACAUUGGAACUGAGACACGGUCCAAACUCCUACGGGAGGCAGCAGUGAGGAAUAUUGGUCAAUGGGCGAGAGCCUGAACCAGCCAAGUAGCGUGAAGGAUGACUGCCCUAUGGGUUGUAAACUUCUUUUAUAAAGGAAUAAAGUCGGGUAUGGAUACCCGUUUGCAUGUACUUUAUGAAUAAGGAUCGGCUAACUCCGUGCCAGCAGCCGCGGUAAUACGGAGGAUUCGAGCGUUAUCCGGAUUUAUUGGGUUUAAAGGGAGCGUAGAUGGAUGUUUAAGUCAGUUGUGAAAGUUUGCGGCUCAACCGUAAAAUUGCAGUUGAUACUGGAUAUCUUGAGUGCAGUUGAGGCAGGCGGAAUUCGUGGUGUAGCGGUGAAAUGCUUAGAUAUCACGAAGAACUCCGAUUGCGAAGGCAGCCUGCUAAGCUGCAACUGACAUUGAGGCUCGAAAGUGUGGGUAUCAAACAGGAUUAGAUACCCUGGUAGUCCACACGGUAAACGAUGAAUACUCGCUGUUUGCGAUAUACGGCAAGCGGCCAAGCGAAAGCGUUAAGUAUUCCACCUGGGGAGUACGCCGGCAACGGUGAAACUCAAAGGAAUUGACGGGGGCCCGCACAAGCGGAGGAACAUGUGGUUUAAUUCGAUGAUACGCGAGGAACCUUACCCGGGCUUAAAUUGCAGAUGAAUUACGGUGAAAGCCGUAAGCCGCAAGGCAUCUGUGAAGGUGCUGCAUGGUUGUCGUCAGCUCGUGCCGUGAGGUGUCGGCUUAAGUGCCAUAACGAGCGCAACCCUUGUUGUCAGUUACUAACAGGUUCCGCUGAGGACUCUGACAAGACUGCCAUCGUAAGAUGUGAGGAAGGUGGGGAUGACGUCAAAUCAGCACGGCCCUCACGUCCGGGGCUACACACGUGUUACAAUGGGGGGUACAGAGGGCCGCUACCACGCGAGUGGAUGCCAAUCCCCAAAACCUCUCUCAGUUCGGACUGGAGUCUGCAACCCGACUCCACGAAGCUGGAUUCGCUAGUAAUCGCGCAUCAGCCACGGCGCGGUGAAUACGUUCCCGGGCCUUGUACACACCGCCCGUCAAGCCAUGGGAGCCGGGGGUACCUGAAGUGCGUAACCGCGAGGAGCGCCCUAGGGUAAAACUGGUGACUGGGGCU